ensembl:snRNA U2 U2 spliceosomal RNA
AUCGCUUCUCAGCCUUUUGGCUAAGAUCAAGUGAAGAAUUUGUUUGACCCAAAAGUUCUAAGUAAUCAUAUGAUCGUUAUUCAAGAUAAUACUUUCCUAUCAAAUGUUAUUUUUCAAUGUAAACAACAAUGACAACCAUAU